rnacentral:misc_RNA from 1 species
AGCAGCCGCGGUAAUUCCAGCUCCAAUAGCGUAUAUUAAAGUUGUUGCAGUUAAAAAGCUCGUAGUUGAAUUUCGGGAUUGGCGUAUCGGUCGUGCCUCACGGGGUAUGAACUGGUGCAGUCAAUUUCUCACCUUCUGGGGAACCGCGAUGUCCUUAAUUGGAUGCCGUGGGGAACCAGGACCUUUACUUUGAAAAAAUUAGAGUGUUUAAAGCAGGCAUUUUUGCUUGAAUACAUUAGCAUGGAAUAAUAAAAUAGGACGGCAUGGUUCUAUUUUGUUGGUUUCUAGGACCACCGUAAUGAUUAAUAGGGAUAGUUGGGGGCAUUAGUAUUCAAUUGUCAGAGGUGAAAUUCUUGGAUUUAUUGAAGACUAACUACUGCGAAAGCAUUUGCCAAGGAUGUUUUCAUUAAUCAAGAACGAAAGUUAGGGGAUCGAAGACGAUCAGAUACCGUCGUAGUCUUAACCAUAAACUAUGCCGACUAGGGAUCGGAUGAUGUUAAUUUUUUAAUGACUCAUUCGG